CUCGUUCAGAGCGGCCGCUCUGCCUUCAUCGUCCAGGGAAGCCGACAGGGACGCUGGACAGCUCCGCGGCCGGUCCACGUGUCAGUGAGACACCGCGGGCAGCGGUCCCAGACCAACUGAAGGGGCUCCGCCUGGGUUCACGGGGAUGGGCGCUGACCUCCAACCGCUGACACUCGGUGAAUUCUAAAGAUGCAGAGGAUGCUGAGACAGGUCGGAAAGUGGAUCAUUGGUGGGAAAGUGGAUCCCAUCGUCUCCUCUUCUCUGCUGGGAUGGAACCAAAGGAGCAAUUAAAUGGGGAUUUAUGUUCAGUGGAUGCACUGUACCACCGCAUCUGGCUGUUGUCUACAUUGGUGUAAACAUCCCCUUGCGUGGUAACAGGCCCUUCCGGCCCAACGAAUCCACGCCGCCCAUUUUAAACCCAAAUUAACCUACCUGUACGUCUUUUGGAACGUGGGAGGAAACCAGAGCACCCAGAGGAAACCCACGCAGACAUGGAAGAAUGUACAAACUCCGUACAGACAGCGACGGGAAUCGAACCCUGAUCGCUGGCACUGUAAUAGCGUUGCGCUAACCACUAUGCUACCGUGUUUCAUUGAAUUUUCUAAAUUACUUUUGAGUUGUUUGAUUGACUGGAACAUUAAGAAACAUUAAUGGUUUUUGACAUGACUGACAGCUGGCUAAGCCUGAGGGUGUGGCUUUGUGUCCUGUCAUCAUUUUUCCUGGAGUUUUGUGGGUGGGGCAUAUUCUUUCUCACCCACUGCUGGCAUUCGGUUACACCAGGCUAUGUGCAGGGUGCCUCCACUCUGGAAUGGGACGGUACUUACCAGCAAGUUGACCCCAGUGGAUCCACAAAGUAAGUUCACAUUUAUCGUGAGGGUCAGUGGCGGAUGCUGCUGGCUACUGCUGGCAGCACCAUCGGCCCAUCAGUGAUAUGGGUCAGUGGUAGAUGCUGCUGGUCACUGCUGGCAGCACCAUCAGCCCCAUGAUAUGGGGGACAUCAUGAGUCAGUGGUUUUGUGGAAGCAGGAGGUGGCUCCCGUGGAGGUGAUGAGUCCGUGUGGACAGCAAGGAAACUGGCUCAGGGCGGUAACCAGGGCUGGGCAGGGAACUGGCACAAACCUGGCUGGUGGACAGGGGAAGGCUGGGGGAGAGCAGGGGCAUCUGACUGGAUGACCCUGCCGUUGGUGCUAGAAGGGUUCAUGAGUUCUUUGCUCUGUUUGUCGGAGGGGAGGUUGUGGCAAAAAGCAGCCAGAGCACUGAAGAAGCACAAACACCUGCAGAUUGAGGGGAGGUGGAAGUUAUGGCUGAGAGCCAAUGUUUGCUUCAGAGUUAACAGAGUAAUGUUUCUCUAAACCCCUCCAACAUCAAGUCCCUACCUACCAAUCAUAAUUUACAAACUAUUUUGUAAUUCUGUGGCCCAUCUCUAUCACUGUCCAGUCUUGCAAGAGCAGUGAUGUAGAGCUUCAUUUAAUGUUUAUGGUUCCUACACUGAUUGGGAAGGUGCCGUACAUCAUUUUCAUUACUGGUUACUGCCUUUUAUGACUUCCAGGGACAGAGUUCUGCUGAAUUUCAAUAGGCAACUAAUGAAAACAUUAUGUACCUUAAAGAGGAUAAUACAGGGAAGGGAGUAGGCUGUAGGCUGCUAAACAUGCAAAAUAGAAGUCUGGCACCCAUGGAACUUAAUGGAAAUGAUUCAAUGGUCUCCAUCCAAAAAGAGUCAAACACUGUUAAAAGUUAAUCAAACUAUUACAGCAUUAAUAAUGUAAAAAUAAAUCAAUAUAAUAGAAACCACAGAUAUGAAGCAAACAAUUCAGAAGCAUAGAUCACCUGACACUUACCUCUCUCCCUUGGAGAUGUUCCUCCCCAUUGACAUUAACAGACUUGCCGCACGGGUACCAGGUCUAAUCUGGAUCAGGUUCCCCGUUGGAGUGCUGGGAGCUGCAGGAAGUUGGCACUUGCUGCCGGACUCAGCCCUGUGCAGUCAACAAAAUCCCACCAGCUCCUGUCAGGAAGUUCACACAUUGCUGCCAGAAAGUUCUGGGCUGGUACUUUUGUGUAGCUCCUCACUAUGAUGAAGUGAAUGGGGAGGAAGCUUUAAACAAAGGGAACAUUGUUUCGGGAUUUCCUCUGAACUUGGUGUGAAAACACUUCCCAUAUCUGCAAAAGAGCAGGGAGUAUCAGGGUUUUGUUACUGCAGCAAAGGGUCAGUAGUGUGACAAUGGCUUUACAACACGGAGACACUGUCCUGUCUAUUCAGUAGGAAGUAGUCACGGUGACUGGCAGCUGGGUGUUAAAUGCAUGGUGCAAGCCACAUGUCUGAUGCUGCAGUCAAUACAAACCUGGGAGCUCUCAUGCAGGCACUCUGAGGAAGAGACGGGCAAUUGCACACUUCUUAAUUUUACCAAUGAACCCUGUGGACACCGUCCUUGUGAUGGGACAUUGCUAAAACUAAGAAAUGUCUGAUUGUCCUCGCCCACUAUCUGAGAUCCAAGGAGGUUCGUGAGGAGCAGCCAAGUUCUAUGUUGAACUGAGGAUUUUUGCAAAGCUGUCUGUUCAGGAUAUUGAUGUGUUCCUGCCAAGCUGCUGAUGGUUGUGGAACCAGGAGCUUCGCAGAGUGGAUUGGCAUUGGUACAGAUGGAUCAUAUCACUCCUAGAUUGCAGUGUAAAUGACACACAGUGGGGUGUUGGAACUAGACUGUGCAGGGAAAGGGGUGCUUGGAGCAUCAUAGCCAGUGGGUGCAUCACUGUGGAGGUACAGGAGCCUGAAGACCCACACUCAAUGAUUCAGGAACAGCUUCUUCCCCUCCGCCAUCAGAUUUCUGAACGGUCCAUGAACACUACCUCGUUAUUCCUCUUUUGCACCAUGUAUUUAUUUUUGUAACUUAUUGUAAUUUUUAUGUCCUGCACUGUACUGCUGCAGCAAAACAACAGAUUUCACGACAUAUGUCAGUGAUAUUAAACCUGAUUCUGCUUCUGAGGCUCCUGAUGGGUCUUUGCAGACAGAGCACUUCUCUCCCUUUGUCUUUGGUCUUCUGUGGCAAGAUGUCCUUGAAUUUGUGCCUUUCCCUUCUCCCAGCACAGUGGCAUUACUGGUAGAGCUGCUGCCUCACAGCUCCAGUGAACCGGGUUCAAUCCUGACCUCAGGCGCUGUCUGUGUGGAGUUUGCACAUUCUCCUUGUGACCAGGAGACACAAGAGACAGCAGAUGCUGGGAUCUGGAGCAGAAAACAAACUGCUGG